rnacentral:rRNA from 1 species
UACGUAGGGUGCAAGCGUUGUCCGGAAUUAUUGGGCGUAAAGAGCUCGUAGGCGGUUCGUCGCGUCGGCUGUGAAAACCUGAGGCUCAACCUCAGGCCUGCAGUCGAUACGGGCGGACUUGAGUACUGCAGGGGAGACUGGAAUUCCUGGUGUAGCGGUGAAAUGCGCAGAUAUCAGGAGGAACACCGGUGGCGAAGGCGGGUCUCUGGGCAGUAACUGACGCUGAGGAGCGAAAGCGUGGGGAGCGAACAGGAUAGAAACCCCGGU